AACCUACGGGAGGCUGCAGUUAGGAAUCUUCCGCAAUGGGCGAAAGCCUGACGGAGCGAUACCGCUUGAAGGACGAAGCCCUUCGGGGUGUAAACUUCUGAACUCGGGACGAUAAUGACGGUACCGAGGUAAUAGCACCGGCUAACUCCGUGCCAGCAGCCGCGGUAAUACGGAGGGUGCGAGCGUUACCCGGAUUUACUGGGUGUAAAGGGCGUGUAGGCGGUCUCUCAAGUCCGAUGCUAAAGACCGAAGCUCAACGUCGGGGGUGCGUUGGAUACUGUGAGGCUAGACGGUCGGAGAGGGUAGCGGAAUUUCCGGAGUAGCGGUGAAAUGCGCAGAUACCGGAAGGAACGCCAAUAGCGAAAGCAGCUACCUGGACGAUUUGUGACGCUGAGGCGCGAAAGCGUGGGGAGCAAACCGGAUUAGAUACCCCGGUAGUCAA
rnacentral:rRNA from 1 species